UACGUAGGGGGCUAGCGUUGUCCGGAUUUAUUGGGCGUAAAGAGCGUGUAGGCGGCCUGACAGGUCUGCUGUGAAAACUCGAGGCUCAACCUCGAGAUGUCGGCGGAAACCGUCUGGCUAGAGUCCGGAAGAGGAGAGUGGAAUUCCUGGUGUAGCGGUGAAAUGCGCAGAUAUCAGGAAGAACACCCGUGGCGAAGGCGGCUCUCUGGGACGGUACUGACGCUGAGACGCGAAAGCGUGGGGAGCAAACAGG
rnacentral:rRNA from 1 species